UGCCAUGUGAAUGAUGAAGGUCUUUUUGAUUGUAAAGUUCUUUUAUUGGGGAAAAUGAUGAUGGUACCCGAUGAAUAAGUGACAGCAAACUAUGUGCCAGCAGCUGCGGUAAUACAUAGGUCGCAAGCGUUAUUCGGAUUUAUUGGGCGUAAAGCAAGCGCAGGCGGACGAGUAAGUUCUGUGUUAAAAGCAGCAGCUCAACUGUUGUUUGCGCCGAAUACUGCUCGUCUAGAAUACGGUAGAAAGUUUCGGAAUUGAAUAUGGAGCGGUGGAAUGUGUAGAUAUAUUCAAGAACACCAGAGGCGAAGGCGGAAACUUAGGCCGCUAUUGACGCUUAGGCUUGAAAGUGUGGGGAGCAAAUGGGAUUAGAUACCCCAGUAGUCCACACCGUAAACGAUGGAUAUUAGAUGUUGGGACUUGAGUCUCAGCGUUGUAGCUUACGUGUUAAAUAUCCCGCCUGAGUAGUACAUAUGCAAAUAUGAAACUCAAAGGAAUUGACGGGGACCUGAACAAGUGGAGGAACAUGUUGCUUAAUUCGACAAUACACGAAAAACCUUACCAAGAUUUGACAUCCCUUGCUAAACCCUAGAAAUAGGGUGGAGGUUAUCAAGGUGACAGGUGGUGCAUGGCUGUCGUCAGCUCGUGUCAUGAGAUGUUUGGUUAA
rnacentral:rRNA from 1 species